rnacentral:rRNA from 1 species
GACGGGGGGUCCAAGCGUUGUUCGGAAUUACUGGGCGUAAAGCGUGCGCAGGCGGUUCGUUGUGUCGGCGGUGAAAGCCCCGGGCUUAACCUGGGAAUGGCCGUCGAAACUGGCGAACUGGAGUGUGGCAGAGGGGGGUGGAAUUCCGCGUGUAGCAGUGAAAUGCGUAGAGAUGCGGAGGAACACCGAUGGCGAAGGCAGCCCCCUGGGCUGACACUGACGCUCAGGCACGAAAGCGUGGGGAGCAAACAGG